rnacentral:lncRNA from 1 species
AACAUUUUACUUUUCCUUAAAAUUUUCAUUUUAGAUUAUGCUACAUAAGUUUUGACAUGUCAUUUAAUGGUUAAACAAUUUUAGUAAUUGAAGGAUCUGAUUAAUAUAGCAUUCAUAAUUUAGGGAUGUAAUUAUUAGUGUAAUAUCCGAUUUUGCCCGAGUAUAAAAGGCCCAAAUUACAGCAUGCCUACAUGGCCCAAACUCGAAAUAAAACCAAGUCCCAAAAUUACAAACCCAGUGGCCCAAAACAAUUGCAGAAACCCCUAGGGUUUCUGGGGUAAACGUUCGGGCCGCAACCAUGUCCUCCGCACGAGCCGAAUCUCCACACGCGCCUUCACCUGCACAGCAAGAAAGGAAAUAGUAUACGGCAAGAAAAUCGAAGAUUUGCAAAAUCAAAUCGAUAUGAACAGAUUUGCUUCUUUAUAUUGUUUCAUUAUGGCUAUAAAAAGCCAUUAAAGAUACUGUAAAAAGGGAUUCGAAAUCAAUAAAAAAACGAUUAUUUUCACAAUAAAAAAGACAGAGAAUUCGAUACUGAGAGCAAAAAUCGAUCCAAAAGGUUGACGUAUACAGUUUUUUUAUUUAUUUUCUUUAAUCUACUGUUAUUAUUAUAUUUUUUUUAUCUACAUACGAAUAAAACAAGUAGGAGAAAGAAAGAAACAACCUUUUUGAGCUUGGAUUGCCGUGGACGGCCGAGGUAGUCGUCUCCGAGGAUAGAUGUCCGGAAACCGAAAGGUUUCUUGAGAUUUUAGGUUUUCUUUCAUCAGUAUUUUGAAGAUUUCGGGGCUAGAUUUGAGUUUAGGGGUUUCAAAAGGACCGAAUCAGAAGUUUUUCCUUUUUUCGGCCACCACACACGGCGGCGCUGUCGCCAGUGACCGGUGGCCGGCAUGGCUAUUCCUUCGCCGGAUUUUGGGCCGGUGCCCGGAGGAAAAGGGGAGGGUUGAGAGGUUUUAUGGUUUUUUUUAAAGAGAUGGAAA